rnacentral:rRNA from 1 species
GCCCAGAGUCAAACGGGCGGACCCGCAAAGUCGGUCGGCGGAAUUCAGCCCGGCCGGGGGACGGGGGCUGGCGCGUGUGGAUCUCACGACCGCCGUGCCAGCCUUCCGCUCUCCCGCCGGGUGCACUUUCUGUCGGCCGAGCGCCACGACCGGCUCCCGGCCGGCCAGAGCCCGGCGAGGAAGGUGUGCGGGCGUUCCUCCCUCGGGGGGUCGUCCGCCGUUACAGCCYCGCCGCGGAUCGGGCCCGGCUUGGGGGCCGAGGAACCACCGCGCUUCGUCUGGGGCCGUCGUUCCGAGGGUGGGGU